rnacentral:rRNA from 1 species
CGGGCGUCUUAACAUGCAAGUCGAACGGCAGCGCGGGCUUCGGCCUGCGGCGAGUGGCGAACGGGUGAGUAAUGCAUCGGAACGUGCCCAGUAGUGGGGGAUAGCCCGGCGAAAGCCGGAUUAAUACCGCAUACGACCUGAGGGUGAAAGCGGGGGACCGAAAGGCCUCGCGCUAUUGGAGCGGCCGAUGUCGGAUUAGCUAGUUGGUGGGGUAAAGGCUUACCAAGGCGACGAUCCGUAGCUGGUCUGAGAGGACGACCAGCCACACUGGGACUGAGACACGGCCCAGACUCCUACGGGAGGCAGCAGUGGGGAAUUUUGGACAAUGGGGGCAACCCUGAUCCAGCCAUGCCGCGUGCGGGAAGAAGGCCUUCGGGUUGUAAACCGCUUUUGUUCGGGAAGAAAUCCUCUGGGCUUAAUACCCCGGGGGGAUGACGGUACCGGAAGAAUAAGCA